rnacentral:rRNA from 1 species
GAUGAACGCUGGCGGCGUGCCUAAUACAUGCAAGUCGAGCGAACGGACGAGAAGCUUGCUUCUCUGAUGUUAGCGGCGGACGGGUGAGUAACACGUGGAUAACCUACCUAUAAGACUGGGAUAACUUCGGGAAACCGGAGCUAAUACCGGAUAAUAUUUUGAACCGCAUGGUUCAAAAGUGAAAGACGGUCUUGCUGUCACUUAUAGAUGGAUCCGCGCUGCAUUAGCUAGUUGGUAAGGUAACGGCUUACCAAGGCAACGAUGCAUAGCCGACCUGAGAGGGUGAUCGGCCACACUGGAACUGAGACACGGUCCAGACUCCUACGGGAGGCAGCAGUAGGGAAUCUUCCGCAAUGGGCGAAAGCCUGACGGAGCAACGCCGCGUGAGUGAUGAAGGUCUUCGGAUCGUAAAACUCUGUUAUUAGGGAAGAACAUAUGUGUAAGUAACUGUGCACAUCUUGACGGUACCUAAUCAGAAAGCCACGGCUAACUACGUGCCAGCAGCCGCGGUAAUACGUAGGUGGCAAGCGUUAUCCGGAAUUAUUGGGCGUAAAGCGCGCGUAGGCGGUUUUUUAAGUCUGAUGUGAAAGCCCACGGCUCAACCGUGGAGGGUCAUUGGAAACUGGAAAACUUGAGUGCAGAAGAGGAAAGUGGAAUUCCAUGUGUAGCGGUGAAAUGCGCAGAGAUAUGGAGGAACACCAGUGGCGAAGGCGACUUUCUGGUCUGUAACUGACGCUGAUGUGCGAAAGCGUGGGGAUCAAACAGGAUUAGAUACCCUGGUAGUCCACGCCGUAAACGAUGAGUGCUAAGUGUUAGGGGGUUUCCGCCCCUUAGUGCUGCAGCUAACGCAUUAAGCACUCCGCCUGGGGAGUACGACCGCAAGGUUGAAACUCAAAGGAAUUGACGGGGACCCGCACAAGCGGUAGAGCAUGUGGUUUAAUUCGAAGCAACGCGAAGAACCUUACCAAAUCUUGACAUCCUUUGACAACUCUAGAGAUAGAGCCUUCCCCUUCGGGGGACAAAGUGACAGGUGGUGCAUGGUUGUCGUCAGCUCGUGUCGUGAGAUGUUGGGUUAAGUCCCGCAACGAGCGCAACCCUUAAGCUUAGUUGCCAUCAUUAAGUUGGGCACUCUAAGUUGACUGCCGGUGACAAACCGGAGGAAGGUGGGGAUGACGUCAAAUCAUCAUGCCCCUUAUGAUUUGGGCUACACACGUGCUACAAUGGACAAUACAAAGGGCAGCGAAACCGCGAGGUCAAGCAAAUCCCAUAAAGUUGUUCUCAGUUCGGAUUGUAGUCUGCAACUCGACUACAUGAAGCUGGAAUCGCUAGUAAUCGUAGAUCAGCAUGCUACGGUGAAUACGUUCCCGGGUCU